GACGAACCGUGCGAACGUUAUUCGGAAUCACUGGGCUUAAAGCGCGUGUAGGCGGGCCGGCAAGUCGGUCGCUGAAAUCCCCCGGCUCAACCGGGGAAGGGGCGCCGAUACGACCGGCCUGGAGGGGCGUAGGGGGACCGGGAACUUCCGGUGGAGCGGUGAAAUGCGUUGAGAUCGGAAGGAACGCCCGUGGCGAAAGCGCGGGCCUGGACGCCUGCUGACGCUGAGACGCGAAAGCCAGGGGAGCGAACGGG
rnacentral:rRNA from 1 species